UUUCUUAAAGAAAAUAUUCUCUAAUACAAAGAAAAUUAUUAAUUUUUUUUACUGAUUUUACUAAAAAAUAAUUAGUAGAAUUUUGUAUAAUAUUAUGGUGUAAAUUUAAAAUAAAUCUAUCCACAAGAUAGAAAAUGAUGAAUCACUUUUAGGGACCUGGAUAUAUAAUACAAAAAAAAAACCGUGAUCAAAACACUUAUAUCCGUUGGAAAACAAGAGCUAUAAAACUAUAUAGAGUCUGCGUCAGAGAAUGACGUUAGCAACUGGCGGAUUUCUGAACACUUUCAUAAUUAAACUUUGUUACAUGCGUAUAUACAUUUGUAGUUUGCGUACUCGUUCAAAUGAAAAACAGACAAAUAGGUGUUACUUAUUGACACUCGUAAAAAGGAACAAAGUUUAUCGUCAUACGAUAAGUUAAAAGCAUAUAAACAUCGCGAUAGCGCUGUUUCUAUAUACAUCAGACACGAUCAAUAAAAAGCAACCCGAUCAAUUUCUAGAGGUUAUUUUCAGGUUGGGAACGUUGACGUUUUAUAUACGGUUCAUUUAUAUGCUCCUAGUACACCCACACUGAAAACCCACGGAACAACGUUGCUGAAUUUAUUUAACAUAUGUAUAAUAUACGUGGGUAUAAAUUUCUAUCCUUGUAUUAUCAAAAUUACUAUACCAGGCCUAAUAUAAGAUUUUCUUGUUAAAAAUUUUCACAUUUUAUAUUCAUAUACUUUCUUGCUUAUUUUGUACGGCACUGUAUCAGCCCACGUAUCUUUUCUCACGUAGCACACACUGAAGUCAGUGUGAGUCAUUUGUAAGCCCAGAGAAAAUCCGACAACUCAUAUCCCUGAAAUUCCUGCUUGGUUUAUACUGUUCUCCUUUCUCGACACAAAAUACAAAGAAAACUGAUCUAGCAAAACUCACAUAAAAUAACAAAGAAAAAUAGUUUAAGUAAAAAUAAAAAAAUUUUAUAUUCAUUUUAUAAUAUUGUAUAAUGACAAUGUUUUUUUUUAAAUAAAAAAGAAUUUUGA